CUCACAAUUCCCCGUUGUUUACAAUGGAGCGAGAGAGAUUCGGAGCGACAAAGCGUCGAUUACCCCAUUAAUUUGAGCGAGGAUGAAAGAUUCGUAGAUGAGGAACGUUACAGUGAAGGACUAGAGAGGCAGUGAUGGACGUAUCUUUUUUCGCUCUGACCGUAACUUAGGUACAAGCUGGCUCAUUGGAUUCCACACUUUCUCCUUUUUCUAUUGUGGUUCACGGAUUUGUAUUUUAAACCACCUCGGAUACUAUAUCCUCUUGAAAAUGAGAGUCGAGCACGCGAAAUGGACAUUUAAAGUGACUUUUAUCUCCACGACUAUACAUCGGUGACACACUUAGCUACUGAGCUAACGUGAUAGCAUCGUUCUCAAAUGAAGAUAGAAACAAAAGAAAUAAACCCCUGACUGGAAGGAUAGACAGAAGAUCAACAAUACUAUUAAACCAUGUACAUGUAACUACACGGUUAAAAAUUCUCAGCCUGGUAAGUCUUAACAAUGCUGUUGCUAACGACGCUAAGGCUAAUUUAGCAACUUAGCAACCGGACCUCACAGAACUAUGAUAAAAACAUUAGCGCUCCACCUACGCCAGCCAGCCCUCAUCUUCCCAUCAACAGCCGUGCUCACCUGCGUUCCAGCGAUCGACGGCGCGACGAAGGACUUCAUCCGUGGGUUUGGCAGCAAGCAUCGGCUAGGUGUCUUCUAACUUUGGACAAUCCACUACACACAUUGGCGUCACGAACAGGAUGGCACAGAAGCUACAGGUCGACAGCCGCUCCCGCUCUCUCUGUCAGGCAGACAGUGUGUUGCAUGCGCAUCACAAGUUCCGUACCUGCCGUGUGUGCCUGCUCAGCCUGCUAGCCUCAGCCUGCUAGCCACAGCCUGCUAGCCACAGCCUGCUAGCCUCAGCCUGCUAGCCACAGCCUGCUAGCCACAACCUGCUAGCCAAAGCCUGCUAGCCUCAGCCUGCUAGCCUCAGCCUGCUAGCCACAACCUGCUAGCCAAAGCCUGCUAGCCUCAGCCUGCUAGCCUCAGCCUGCUUGCCACAGCCUGCUAGCCUCUGUGUGCUCUCCUGGACUGCCAAGCCAAGGACUAUGAGCUCCCUCCUUUCCCUCUGGUUUUAUUAAUUAUAACCCUUGAACUUUACUUCUGCUUGUCUUUUCUGCAUUUGGGUUCACCAGUUUUACCAACCGUGACAAAAACAAUAACCAGAAACUUAAGUAUACACAAUAACACAUUUCUAGACAACUUGUUUAAUUACAUUUUGAAUGUGCUUGUGUUGUUGUAAUUCCCAUGAAA